rnacentral:tRNA from 1 species
NGUAGAGUGCGAGAGUAAGUGCGGGNUGUAGCCCGNUGAUGCGGGUUCAAGUCCUGUUUCUAUCA